GAGGAAACAGAUGUGAUGGAAGACGCACCAUUGAGGGGUAACGUGAUGGAAGACUCAUAAUAGAGAGGUAACAGAGCUGAUGGCAAACUCACCAUAGAAAAGUAACAGGUGAUGGAAGACUCACCAUAGAGAGGUCACAGGUCAUGGAAGACUCAUCAUAGAGAGGUAACAGAGGUGAUGGCAGACUCACCAUAGAGAGGUAACAGAACUGAUGGCAGACUGAUCAUAGAGAGGUAACAAGUGAUGGAAGACUCAUCAUAGAGAUGUAGCAGGUGUUGACAGACUCACCAUAGAGAGGUAACAAGUGAUGGAAGACUC